GGAAGGAUCAUUGACAAAUCUAAACCGCUGCCCUCUCUCUCGGGGGAGGCAGUAACCUUCCAACCUGUGAAUCGGCAGCUAAGGCUGUUGCGCUUUGGCAGUGGUGUUCCGGCACUCCUGCCAAGCUGACAUAAACGUCUAACAAAUGUCUAAGCAUGUUGCAAAACAAUAACAACUUUUAGCAAUGGAUCUCUUGGCUUCUGUAACGAUGAAGAACGCAGUGAAAUGCGAUAAUUAAUGUGAAUUGCAUUAUCUCGUGAAUCAUCGAGUCUUUGAACGCAUCUUGCACUUUUCAGGUCUCCUGGAAAGUAUACUUGUUUGAGUAUCAUAAACACCGCUCAGAGUCACACGCUUUGGUGUGUCCUCUCUGGAAGUGAGACGUCAGGGAGCAUUGCGCUCUUUGUGUCUUUUAAUUGAUAUGCAGUGCGCUUCCGCUUGCACCCUGUGUGCAUGGCGGAUGCCCAACUACUAAAUGUGAGAUAAAUAUCGCACAAAGCGGUCGUUGGGUCAAGUGCUGCUACGCCCAGCGUGCCCCCAAAGGGCACACACCCACCGAGUCAUUGAUCUCAAAUCAAGUAAGAGUACCCGCUGAACUUAAGCAUAUCAGUAAGCGGAGGAAAAGAAACUAACAAGGAUUCCCCCAGUAACGGCGAGUGAAGAGGGAAGAGCUCAAAUUUAAAAUCUGUAAGGCCUCCUUACCGAAUUGUAAUUUAUAGAAGUGUUUCUUGGCGCGGCAGCUGGCACAAGUCUCUUGGAAAAGAGCAUCAGAGAGGGUGACAAUCCCGUACCUGGCCUCCAGCCUGCGCCUCUGCGAUGCACUCUCUACGAGUCGGAUUGUUUGGGAAUGCAGUCCUAAAUGGGUGGUAAAUUUCAUCUAAAGCUAAAUAUCGACAGAAGACCGAUAGCGAACAAGUACCGUGAGGGAAAGAUGAAAAGAACUUUGAAAAGAGAGUUAAAAGUACGUGAAAUUGCUAAAAGGGAAACGAUCAAAGUCAGUAUUGCCUUGGGAGGCUCAGCCAGUGUUAGCGGAAGCCGCCGCGGACCGAGUGUAACAGCCGGUCUCGGAUGUGUGACGUGGGCACCGGCGCAUUCCUCCCGGGCAAGUCAACAUCGGUUCUGCCUGCUGGAUAGGGCCUGGAGGAAGGUGGGUGUUGUCUCCGGACGAUAUCUUUAUAGACUCCAGACUGAGACAGCGGACGGGACCGAGGACUGCAGUCUAAAGCCGCAGGGCUGGGACCAACAGGACAUAGAGCGUCCCGCGGAGUGUGCCUGCACGCAGGAGCAUUCUGCCGUCGACGCGCUAUUGUCCCGGGCGUCGCCGUUAGACUUAGGAUGUUGACGAAAUGGCUUUGACCGACCCGUCUUGAAACACGGACCAAGGAGUCUAACAAUUAUGCGAGUGUUUGAGUGUUAAACUCAAGCGCGCAACGAAAGUGAUUUUAAUGGGACUCCCCCGGGACGCACCAUUAGCCAGUCUGGAUCUCUUGUGAAAGAUUGAGCAGGAGCAUAGCUGUUAGGACCCGAAAGAUGGUGAACUAUGCCUGAAUAGGGUGAAGUCAGAGGAAACUCUGAUGGAGGCUCGUAGCGGUUCUGACGUGCAAAUCGAUCGUCAAAUUUGGGUAUAGGGGCGAAAGACUAAUCGAACCAUCUAGUAGCUGGUUCCCUC
rnacentral:misc_RNA from 1 species